CCUACGGGUGGCAGCAGUGGGGAAUAUUGCACAAUGGGCGAAACCCUGAUGCAGCGAAGCCGCGUGAGUGAAGACGUAUUUAGGUAUGUAAAGCUCUAUCAGCAGGGAAGCAGCACGACGGUACCUGACUCAGAAGCCCCGGCUAAGCACGUGCCAGCAGCCGCGGUAAUACGUAGGGAGCAAGCGUUAUCCGGAUUUAAUGGGGGUAAAGGGAGCUUAGGCGGUAUGGCUAGUCUGAAGUGAAAGUCCAGGGCCUAACCCUGGGACGGCUUUGGAAACUGGUAGACUAGAGUGCUGGAGAGGUAAGUGGAAGGCGUAGUGUAGCGGUGAAAUGCGUAGAUAUUAGGAGGAACACCAGUGGCGAAGGCGGCUUACUGGACAGUAACUGACGUUGAGGCUCGAAAGCGUGGGGAGCAAACAGGAUUAGAUACCCGUGUAGUC
rnacentral:rRNA from 1 species